GUGGGGAAUAUUGGACAAUGGGGGGAACCCUGAUCCAGCCAUGCCGCGUGUGUGAAGAAGGCCUUUUGGUUGUAAAGCACUUUAAGCGAGGAGGAGGCUACCGAGAUUAAUACUCUUGGAUAGUGGACGUUACUCGCAGAAUAAGCACCGGCUAACUCUGUGCCAGCAGCCGCGGUAAUACAGAGGGUGCAAGCGUUAAUCGGAUUUACUGGGCGUAAAGCGCGCGUAGGUGGCCUAUUAAGUCAAAUGUGAAAUCCCCGAGCUUAACUUAGGAAUUGCAUUCGAUACUGGAAAGCUAGAGUAUGGGAGAGGAUGGUAGAAUUCCAGGUGUAGCGGUGAAAUGCGUAGAGAUCUGGAGGAAUACCGAUGGCGAAGGCAGCCAUCUGGCCUAAUACUGACGCUGAGGUACGAAAGCAUGGGGAGCAAACAGGAUUAGAAACCCUUGUAGUCC
rnacentral:rRNA from 1 species